rnacentral:rRNA from 1 species
GGAGGUAGUGACAAUAAAUCACAAUGCGGAACUUCUGUUUUGCAAUUGGAUUGAGAACAACGCACAACACUUAUCGAUAAACAAUUGGAGGGCAAAUCUGGUGCCAGCAGCCGCGGUAAUUCCAGCUCCAAUAGCGUAUAUUAACGUUGUUGCAGUUAAAAAGCUCGUAGUUGAAGUGAAGUGUGAACCUUCUGGAUUUUCGUUCGAAUUUCUUGCUGGUUCGCACUCUUUCCAAAUAGUUUGCAUGGGUAUUCACUUAUCUGUGUAUUGCAUUUGGUCAUUUACUGUGAGAAAAUUAGAGUGUUCAAAGCAUACGUUUGUUUGAAUACAUUAGCAUGGAAUAAUUCGAAAAGGCUUUCAUGUUCGAUUUGAUUGGUUUGUUCGUGAAGGCAAGAUUAAAAGGGACAGUUGGGGGUAUUCAUAUUCAAUAGUCAGAGGUGAAAUUCUCGGAUUUAUGGAAGAUGAACAAGUGCGAAAGCA